rnacentral:rRNA from 1 species
GUGUCAGCCGCCGCGGUAAUACAGAGGGGGCAAGCGUUGUUCGGAAUUACUGGGCGUAAAGGGCGCGUAGGCGGCCUGCUAAGUCGAACGUGAAAUCCCCGGGCUUAACCCGGGAACUGCCUCCGAUACUGUUCGGCUUGAGUCCCGGAGAGGGUAGUGGAAUUCCGAGUGUAGCGGUGAAAUGCGUAGAGACUCGGAAGAACACCAGUGGCGAAGGCGGCUACCUGGACGGGUACUGACGCUGAAGCGCGAAAGCUAGGGGAGCAAACAGGAUUAGAUACCCUGGUAGUCCUAGCUGUAAACGAUGGGCACUUGGUGUUGCGGGUAUCGACCCCUGCAGUGCCGAAGCUAACGCAUUAAGUGCCCCGCCUGGGGAGUACGGUCGCAAGGCUGAA